AGUUCUCGUUGAUGAUCGGUGCUUGCACCGAGAUUCAACAUAGAACGAGUGGCGAACGGGUGAGUAACACGUGGGUAACCUGCCCUUAAGUGGGGGAUAACAUUUGGAAGCAGAUGCUAAUACCGCAUAGAUCCAAGAACCGCAUGGUUCUUGGCUGAAAGACGGCGUAAGCUAUCGCUUUUGGAUGGACCCGCGGCGUAUUAGCUAGUUGGUGAGGUAAUGGCUCACCAAGGCGAUGAUACGUAGCCGAACUGAGAGGUUGAUCGGCCACAUUGGGACUGAGACACGGCCCAAACUCCUACGGGAGGCAGCAGUAGGGAAUCUUCCACAAUGGACGCAAGUCUGAUGGAGCAACGCCGCGUGAGUGAAGAAGGCUUUCGGGUCGUAAAACUCUGUUGUUGGAGAAGAAUGGUCGGCAGAGUAACUGUUGUCGGCGUGACGGUAUCCAACCAGAAAGCCACGGCUAACCACGUGCCAGCAGCCGCGGUAAUACGUAGGUGGCAAGCGUUAUCCGGAUUUAUUGGGCGUAAAGCGAGCGCAGGCGGUUUUUUAAGUCUGAUGUGAAAGCCCUCGGCUUAACCGAGGAAGCGCAUCGGAAACUGGGAAACUUGAGUGCAGAAGAGGACAGUGGAACUCCAUGUGUAGCGGUGAAAUGCGUAGAUAUAUGGAAGAACACCAGUGGCGAAGGCGGCUGUCUGGUCUGUAACUGACGCUGAGGCUCGAAAGCAUGGGUAGCGAACAGGAUUAGAUACCCUGGUAGUCCAUGCCGUANACGAUGAAUGCUAGGUGUUGGA
rnacentral:rRNA from 1 species